rnacentral:rRNA from 1 species
GAGGGAUAAGGUUCAGCUUGCUGAACACACGACCGGCGCACGGGUGAGUAACGCGUUUGCAAUUUACCUCUAACUGGAAGAUAGCCCGAAGAAAUUCGGAUUAAUACUCCAUAAUAUUAGGAAUUCGCAUGAUUUCCUAAUUAAAGCUCCGGCGGUUAGAGAUGAGCAUGCGUGUCAUUAGCUAGUUGGUAAGGUAACGGCUUACCAAGGCGACGAUGACUAGGGGGUCUGAGAGGAUGGUCCCCCACACUGGUACUGAGACACGGACCAGACUCCUACGGGAGGCAGCAGUGAGGAAUAUUGGGCAAUGGGCGCAAGCCUGACCCAGCCAUGCCGCGUGCAGGAUGACUGCCCUAUGGGUUGUAAACUGCUUUUAUACGGGAAGAAUGGUUCCUACGUGUAGGGAUUUGACGGUACCGUAAGAAUAAGCAUCGGCUAACUCCGUGCCAGCAGCCGCGGUAAUACGGAGGAUGCAAGCGUUAUCCGGAUUCAUUGGGUUUAAAGGGUGCGCAGGCGGAAUAUUAAGUCAGUGGUGAAAUCCUGCAGCUUAACUGUAGAACUGCCAUUGAUACUGAUAUUCUUGAAUAUAGUUGAGGUGGGCGGAAUGUGUAAUGUAGCGGUGAAAUGCUUAGAUAUUACACAGAACACCGAUUGCGAAGGCAGCUCACUAAACUAAUAUUGACGCUGAGGCACGAAAGCGUGGGGAGCGAACAGGAUUAGAUACCCUGGUAGUCCACGCUGUAAACGAUGAUCACUCGCUGUUGGCAAUACAUCGUCAGCGGCUGAGCGAAAGCAUUAAGUGAUCCACCUGGGGAAUACGAUCGCAAGAUUGAAACUCAAAGGAAUUGACGGGGGCCCGCACAAGCGGAGGAACAUGUGGUUUAAUUCGAUGAUACGCGAGGAACCUUACCUGGGCUUAAAUGCAGAACGACGUUUCGGGAAACCGGAAUUUCUUCGGACGGACUGCAAGGUGCUGCAUGGCUGUCGUCAGCUCGUGCCGUGAGGUGUCGG